UACGGAGGGUGCGAGCGUUAUUCGGAAUUACUGGGCGUAAAGCGCGAGUAGGCGGUCUCAUAAGUCUGAUGUGAAAGCCCCGGGCUCAACCCGGGAAGGGCGUUGGAAACUGUGGGACUUGAGUGCCGGAGAGGAAGGGGGAAUUCCCGGUGUAGAGGUGAAAUUCGUAGAGAUCGGGAGGAAUACCAGUGGCGAAGGCGCCCUUCUGGACGGCAACUGACGCUGAGAAGCGAAAGCGUGGGGAGCAAAC
rnacentral:rRNA from 1 species